rnacentral:rRNA from 1 species
GAUGAACGCUGGCGGCGUGCCUAAUACAUGCAAAUCGAGCGAACGGACGAGAAGCUUGCUUCUCUGAUGUUAGCGGCGGACGGGUGAGUAACACGUGGAUAACCUACCUAUAAGACUGGGAUAACUUCGGGAAACCGGAGCUAAUACCGGAUAAUAUUUUGAACCGCAUGGUUCAAAAGUGAAAGACGGUCUUGCUGUCACUUAUAGAUGGAUCCGCGCUGCAUUAGCUAGUUGGUAAGGUAACGGCUUACCAAGGCAACGAUGCAUAGCCGACCUGAGAGGGUGAUCGGCCACCCUGGAACUGAGACACGGUCCAGACUCCUACGGGAGGCAGCAGUAGGGAAUCUUCCGCAAUGGGCGAAAGCCUGACGGAGCAACGCCGCGUGAGUGAUGAAGGUCUUCGGAUCGUAAAACUCUGUUAUUAGGGAAGAACAUAUGUGUAAGUAACUGUGCACAUCUUGACGGUACCUAAUCAGAAAGCCACGGCUAACUACGU